ensembl:lncRNA
GUCCGUGGUGCUGAAAAAUGGAGCACUGGCGAUCAACGUCAUGGAAAUCGCUAGAGUGUUUUGCUGUGUCCGAGAAGCUCGCGCGAUUGACGGAGACGGCCGCGUUCAUCGAUGGAAACGCUGGUAAUGUGUAAACAAACUGACCGCUUCCUAAAUGUAUUCUUUCGCGUUUGUGUAACCAUACCAUGACGUCGUCCUUCUAGCCUUCACUUGCUCUCUCAGUUGUUCCUCCCUAAUGUAUAUUUGUUUGUACUUUCUGUGAGUUAUAUUCCAUGGAAACGGUUCACUCUAAAGUUGUCUUUUCUCAUUUAAACC